CACAGGCAUGCUAGGAGAUGUUUAUAGCAGAAAUGACCCCAUACUCGCAGGGGGACAACUCAGUUCUAUCUGCGAUUUCUUAUCACAGUUCAUUCAGCAGCAUUUGACCAAAUACUGUGUUAAAAGCUGAGAUGAAAAGAAAAAUACUAAAGAUGUCACAGGCUAACAGCAAGAAAGGCACAGAUGAGGACUAUUUGUUGUAAUUAUGAAACCUACAAUAGGCAGUGGGGACCCAAAGGAGAGGGGAGUUAUUUUCUGGGGAGAGGUUGGGGUGUAAAAAUACGUCUCCAAAGAGGUAACUAAUUUGUUGGUAUUUGUUUUCUUUUUUAAGCGAGGUACAACGUACAUACAAUAAUGCUGACAUUUCUUCAUUGUACAGCUCAAUAAAUUUUUGCAUAUGUGUAUACCCAUGUAAUUAUCUCCCAGUUCAAGAUAUUGGAUGUGGCAUUUUCAUCUCCCAAGAGGGCUUCUUGUGCUCCUUCUUACCUCCAGGAGUGGCUUCUUCGGCUCAACAUUUGUCUGUGAGAUCCAUCCCUGUGCAGUGCGCACCCGUCACUCUUUCUAUUGCUUUGAAGUAUUACAUUAUAGACACUGGCAUUUGAAGAAUGAGUACAAGUUGCUCCCAGUAUGUUGGCCAGAAGAAUAGAGAGGGCAUUAAUUCUCAAUGAAUUUCUAAGAUUGAAACACUGCUUCAUACCUUUUUGGAAGGGCACCAUCAUGGACCCAAUACUGCUUCAGAGGUGUAGUGCUUGAUUUGCAGAAGUUUACUAGCCCAAUUAAGACCAGGACCUGCAGUGGAACAUGCUGCCUUCCUGUGACUGAGGUAUCUGGGCAAGGCUAUGGCACAAAGAGAGGACCUGAAAUUGAUGUUGCUUUUGUCAGAUGAUAUAUUAAACGUUGCUACUGCUCACUCUUCGGGUCCACGCUGCUUUUAUGAGCUGUAACACUCACCGCAAAGGUCUGCAACUUCACUCCUGAGCCAGCGAGACCACCAGCCCACCAUGAGGAACGAACAACUCCAGAGGCGCCACCUUAAGAGCUGUAACACUCACUGUGAAGGUCUGUAGCUUCACUCCUGAGCCAGCGAGACCACGAACCCACCAGAAGGAAGAAACUCCGAACACAUCUGAACAUCAGAAGUGACAAACUCCAGACACGCCACCUUAAGAGCUGUAACACUCACCGCGAGGGUCCGCGGCUUUAUUCUUGAAGUCAGUGAGACCAAGAACCCACCAAUUCUGGACACACUACCUUUCCAUGGAUUCAUAUGCAUUAACAAUUUACGGCUUCGUACAGGAAUUCUCAAGUGUUAGUUUACAUUAUAAUCACAUGAGCAAUGAGUUUAAAGUGCCACUGUCAAAAUCUAGCUUUAAACUUAGACAUACUUUGUAAGUCACAUAAAAUAAUAAUAAUAAUGUUGAUAUGACCACCAUUGGUUUUAUCAACUUAAACUCCUCUUCAAAAUUUACUCUAACUUCAGUUGUGGCAUCAAACUCAUCCGGUACUGGACUAAGCUCUCAGUUUUCAAGUUCUGGCUGCUUCUGAGAGUUGCAUCUGCCUUCAGUUCAUUGGCUUUGAAUGUUUGAAUCAUUAGAGGUAUGGCUUUCCAGCAUGCUGUUCAGUGAAGAGUUAAUUACUGCAUACAUCACACCUUCCAUGUGCUGGAAAAGGACCAAUGAGCCUACAGGUGGUGACUCUAUAGGCGCAAAUGUUCUUGCAAGGGCAUGAAUUAAAAAAAAAAAAAAAAACAUUUCAGGCAAACAACCAGCAAGUAUGAGUGUCAAAAACUAGAGAGCAUCUCAAAAACUAGAGAGCAAUUGGUAUUACCUCAGAAAGUCAUCAGCAUACCAAAAUGUGUCAAAAUUGAAAGCACCAGAGAAAUCACUUUGGCAAGUAUAAGAAAAAGCACGAGGCUGCAAUAAAUUCUAUUCAAUACUGGACAUGGGGUUGCUGUCUUACAGGCUUUGGGGUCCCAUUCACUCAGGUGCACAUGUUUCCACUUCUUGGUAUGACUUCAAGAUCUCAAAAUUUUCCGAAAAACAUACUUUUCUUUCCUUUUAAAUGAAUUAGUUGGGCCAAUAUUAACUGUUGUAAUAAAAUACAAUAUUUCAGUGCUUUAAGACAAUAGAAAUGUAUUUCUUGCUCAUGAAACAGUAUAAUGUGGAUGUUCCUAGUGCAGAGGUGACUUUGUCCAGACAACAAUAAGAGAACCCAGGCUCCUUUCCAACUUAGGGUUUCACCUUCCCCUUGAGUGUCAGAGUCCUUGACAACUAGCCAAUAGAUGAGGAAAUACAAGAUGAGGAGAACACAUCUUCAUCUUAACUGCCUUUGAUCAAAAGGAAUAAGCAGCACUUCUACUCAUAGAUCUUUAGCAAGGUCUGGUCACGUGGCCUCAUGUAGAUUUAAGGGGUCGGGGAGUCAACAACUCUAAUCUCUGGAUGCUCAUCCAAUUUCCAGCAUGGAUUCAAUAGCAAGCUGAUUUUCUUCAUUCCUUGAGCUGUGGCCUGAAUGUUUGUGUUCCC
rnacentral:lncRNA from 10 species